rnacentral:rRNA from 1 species
UACAGAGGUCUCAAGCGUUGUUCGGAUUCAUUGGGCGUAAAGGGUGCGUAGGUGGCGUCGUAAGUCAGGUGUGAAAUCUCGGGGCUCAACCCCGAAACUGCACUUGAUACUGCGAUGCUCGAGUACUGGAGAGGAGAUUGGAAUUUACGGUGUAGCAGUGAAAUGCGUAGAUAUCGUAAGGAAGACCAGUGGCGAAGGCGGGUCUCUGGACAGUUCCUGACGCUGAUGCACGAAGGCCAGGGGAGCAAACGGG